AGCUGGAUUACCAACAGGCACUGGAUGUGUCCCUGUUUCCCUGUUCCCUGUGUGGAGUCCCUGCCCUGGGGCUCUGGUAUUUGUUGACUUAGAGAGUGCCUGCAGCCUGUUCCAGAGCACAGCUCAGACUUGUUACUGGGAGCAGAAGAGGCAGAACUCUGCAGCAGCACAGUGAUAUUGGGUGGCUUGAGACAAAGUUUUUCAGAUCUUUCCUGGAAAGGCUGAGAUGUGUUCCAGCACUUGGGCAUUCCCCUUUGCUGCUCGGGGGGCUGCUCCAAUGUCUUCAGCAGGGCUGCUUCCAUCAUUCCUAUUUGAACACAGCCCCUGGACAAGAGAGGCAGCUCUGGACUGAAUCUCAGAGAAUAUAAGGAACACAUUUCCUUAUAUGAAGGAAAUGUGUUUCCAGCCAGCCACUGAUGUUCAAGCAUGGAAGAAACAUAGUUUGAUCAUUGCAUUCUGACUACUCUAUUGCACAAGCAUGUUAUGAACAAAAAAGUUAUGCAAAACUCA